GUAGAGACAACAAUACAUCACACAAAGCAGCCACAACGAUCAGUAGAGACAACAAUACAUCACACAAAGCAGCCACAACAGUCAGUAAGGUAGAGCCAACAAUACAUCACACAAAGCAGCCACAACAGUCAGUAGAGACAACAAUACAUCACACAAAGCAGCCACAACAGUCAGUAGAGACAACAAUACAUCACACAAAGCAGCCACAACAGUCAGUAAGGUAGAGACAACAAUACAUCACACAAAGCAGCCACAACAGUCAGUAAGGUAGAGACAACAAUACAUCACACAAAGCAGCCACAACAGUCAGUAAGGUAGAGACAACAAUACAUCACACAAAGCAGCCACAACAGUCAGUAAGGUAGAGACAACAAUACAUCACACAAAGCAGCCACAACAGUCAGUAAGGUAGAGACAACAAUACAUCACACAAAGCAGCCACAACAGUCAGUAGAGACAACAAUACAUCACACAAAGCAGCCACAACAGUCAGUAAGGUAGAGACAACAAUACAUCACACAAAGCAGCCACAACAGUCAGUAAGGUAGAGACAACAAUACAUCACACAAAGCAGCCACAACAGUCAGUAAGGUAGAGACAACAAUACAUCACACAAAGCAGCCACAACAGUCAGUAAGGUAGAGACAACAAUACAUCACACAAAGCAGCCACAACAGUCAGUAAGGUAGAGACAACAAUACAUCACACAAAGCAGCCACAACAGUCAGUAAGGUAGAGACAACAAUACAUCACACAAAGCAGCCACAACAGUCAGUAAGGUAGAGACAACAAUACAUCACACAAAGCAGCCACAACAGUCAGUAAGGUAGAGACAACAAUACAUCACACAAAGCAGCCACAACGAUCAGUAGAGACAACAAUACAUCACACAAAGCAGCCACAACAGUCAGUAAGGUAGAGCCAACAAUACAUCACACAAAGCAGCCACAACAGUCAGUAGAGACAACAAUACAUCACACAAAGCAGCCACAACAGUCAGUAGAGACAACAAUACAUCACACAAAGCAGCCACAACAGUCAGUAAGGUAGAGACAACAAUACAUCACACAAAGCAGCCACAACAGUCAGUAAGGUAGAGACAACAAUACAUCACACAAAGCAGCCACAACAGUCAGUAAGGUAGAGACAACAAUACAUCACACAAAGCAGCCACAACAGUCAGUAAGGUAGAGACAACAAUACAUCACACAAAGCAGCCACAACAGUCAGUAAGGUAGAGACAACAAUACAUCACACAAAGCAGCCACAACAGUCAGUAA